rnacentral:rRNA from 1 species
AACGAACGCUGGCGGCAGGCCUAACACAUGCAAGUCGAGCGGACCCUUCGGGGUUAGCGGCGGACGGGUGAGUAACGCGUGGGGAUAUGCCCUUCUCUACGGAAUAGUCCUGGGAAACUGGGGGUAAUACCGUAUACGCCCUUUGGGGGAAAGAUUUAUCGGGGAAGGAUUAGCCCGCGUUGGAUUAGGUAGUUGGUGGGGUAAUGGCCUACCAAGCCGACGAUCCAUAGCUGGUUUGAGAGGAUGAUCAGCCACACUGGGACUGAGACACGGCCCAGACUCCUACGGGAGGCAGCAGUGGGGAAUCUUAGACAAUGGGGGCAACCCUGAUCUAGCCAUGCCGCGUGAGUGAUGAAGGCCUUAGGGUUGUAAAGCUCUUUCAGCUGGGAAGAUAAUGACGGUACCAGCAGAAGAAGCCCCGGCUAACUCCGUG